UGGGUAUCUGUCUUUUUGCCUGCGCUAGUAAUGCCACUGCCUCGUCCCUUUUCUUAGCCUUGUAACAACAUUACACAUGUACAAUCCACAAACAAAUAUUUAUAACCUCUUCAAAAUUGAAAUUGGAACAUUUGUUUAUUUGUAGCUUAACCAAUAGAAUAAUUUGUCUUACAAUUACACAUGUCCUGCUCCAUUAUGUACAGUUUAUCUCAUUCUCACUUGCAAUUGAAUCCACCUCACUUGUUCUCAAAACUACAUCCAGCACAUUGACAGGGGCAAAUACAAUCACAACUUUUUUAUUCCUCAAAAAAUCAUGAAAAAUAACAUAACCCAAUUUAAAUAAUUUCUUACUUUCCCUGAAUAAAGUAAGAAAUAAAUUUGUGUUUAAUGCAUUAACUAAAAAAAAUCACAAAAUCAAAUAAAAUAGAGCCGGAAAAUAAAGAUUUCACAGAACUACCAAAAUCGGAGAUUAUGUUUCCAGUUACAAUAAGUUACUCGAGGAGGUAUUUAUGCACGAGCAUGUCUGGGGAAGUCUGAAGCUCAAUCGAGUACAGAAAGAGCUCUGGAUCGUGAGAAGGCGUAGUAUGUCCUUCAAUUGUUUCAAGGACGACAACUUUACAGCUGAAUCCCCAUGGUUCUUCGUCGAAGUGAAGAGAGGAAACGCCUGUUCCUGCGCGGGUCGAGCCAUGGAAUAAGUGAGGCCUUCUGUGUAACUAUAUUCGACUUAUCUGGAAGAGGGAGAUUCGGG
rnacentral:lncRNA from 1 species